rnacentral:lncRNA from 1 species
AAGAUGAUUCUGAAGUUGAUACAUCGAAGAAGGUUGAGAAAUACAAUAAGAAGAGGUAUGAUUCAGAAGAAGAUGAUUCAGAUGUUGAUGUUGAUAAGAAGCGGAAGGUUGUAAAGAAGCAUAGUAGAAGCCGAGACGAUAGAGCUGAUGAUUCUGAUACCAGUGAGGAUGCGGGGGAUAGAUCCAGAAAGGAAAUUAAGAAAUCCAAACAACCUCGUAGGAGGCAUGAUUCAGAUGAAGAUGAUUCUGGAGAUGAUGUUGACAAGAAGAAAAAGGUUGUAAAGAAGCAUAGUAAAAGGCGAGACGAUAGAGCUGAUGAUUCUGAUACCAGUGAGGAUGCGGGGGCUAGAUCCAGAAAGGAUAUUAAGAAAUCCAAACAACCUCGUAGGAGGCAUGAAUCAGAUGAAGAUGAUUCUGGAGAUGAUGUUGACAAGAAGAAAAAGGCUGUAAAGAAGCAUAGUAAAAGCAGAAACGAUGAUACUGAUGAUUCCAGUGCCAGUGAAGAUGCCAAAGAUAGAUCCAUAAGGGAAGUCAAGAAACCCGAACAACCUCGUAGGAGGCAUGAUGCAGAUGUAGAUGGUUCUGAAGAUGAUGGUGACAAGAAAAGGAAGGUUGUAAAGAAGCAUAGUAAAAGCAGAAAUGAUGAUACUGAUGAUUCUGCUGCCAGUGAAGAUGCCGAGGAUAGAUCCGCAAAGGAAGUCAAGAAAUCACAACAACCUCGCAGGAGGCAUGAUUCAGAUGAUGAUUCUGGUUAUCCUGAAGAAUUGCCGAAGAGCAGAAUUGAAAAGGGCAAACAACAUGUGAAACCAAACAAAAGGCAUGACUCUGGGCAUGAGGCUGAUCUUGACAGCAGAAUGGAAAGGAAA